GGGCAUCUGGUACAAUUUCUCUCAGCAUUCUAGACCAGAAUUUGAAAAAUUUAUUAAAAUUUUUUUUUUAAUUUGAUAAAAAUGAUAAUAAAUCUGUUUUUCUCCUUAAACAACAGAAAGAAAGACUGCGUCAGAAGGAAGCCAGUGUGACCACCAAUUAAGAUGGAGACAUAAGAAAAUGAGGAUGGCGAGCUGUGGAUCCCUGCAGCGCUGCAGGAAGCUCUUGAAAGAUUUGUUACUAAAUGUCUGUCUUACUCAGUCCUUUCUGAGGUGUCUGCAGGGAGCGCCCUGUGCCUUCUUAAAAGUCCCUUAUUAGGCCACAGGAGCAAUGAAAGCUAUUUAAGGAAACGCUGCAAGAGUACUGGAUAAUUGUUUCUUAUAGAAGUUCAAAGUACACUCCAUUAUAAGACCAGAAGAAAUAACAAGAUUUUCCAAAUUUUUUUAAAAGCUGAGAUUUCACACUUUCUGUCCCAAACUUGAUCUUUACAAUCUGGUCACAGAAGAGGAUCUUUCAUGACAGUUGCCUUAAGGACAGUUUAAGCCUUGGUUUUUACAUGUUGCUGUUUUGAUAUUUAGUUUAUUGGUCUUAAUUUUGAUCAUGUUGCAGCAAGAUCCUAUGGUAUCUUUCUUGCCAACAAUGUGGAAGCUAACCAAAAUUGUUCAUGAAAACAAUUCCCCACACUAGGGAAAUGAUGAUGCUGUCGUUGUUCAUGCAAUGGAAGGGAGACAAAAUGGAAUCGUGUGUGGGCAGAGAAGGGGCAUAAGUGGCCAUAAAGUUCAUUCAGAGAAUGUUAUGAUACUGGGAGUUGAUCUCGGCCAUUAAGCAAGGCCAAUUGUUUUAUUUUUAUAUCAGUUCAUUGUGGGUUCCUGAACCAGCAGAGAUUCUGCACCCCCACCUCCAGCAGAAACAGUAACACCUGAGCAGGGACAGCCUUGGCAAAGUCAGUGCAUCUGUUUGAACAAGCAACGCAGGGGCAUAGCACCGUGCAUGUUUCAGAUCCAUUGUGAAUGGGUGAUGGAUGCCAUCAUGUACCCAAGUUCCACAUCAUGUCCUGGGACUUGUGGCUGGACCUCUCCCACCACCCCCAGGAGAUGGUUUUCAGACAAGAGGGUAAAUGCCACUGGUGCCUUUUUUAUCAUGGCCUUGGCUGACAGGCAUGUGAAAUAGGGUUAGCCGGGGGUAUUGGCUGGCACAACACUUAAGUUCUUUACAGAAAAAUGAAAAGAAGGUAAAAUAUAUCAAUAUUAAACUUUGAGUAGAAUAUCAGGCCUAGGUAGCUCUUUCUGACCCUGGCUCUUGAUUCACAGAGGAAAACCGCUUUGGAAAUCUACCUGAUAUUUUCCCUUUCAAGCCAUUACUCUUUGAAUCUGUCCUAUGAGGGGAUAAGAAGAGAGACUGGAGUCAGCUUUCUCCUCCAGUGGUGGGGACAGUCUAGAGGUGAACAGUAAUCUUAUGUCCCAUCCAGAUCCACUGCCAUCUAUGUCAUGCCCCUUGCCCUAGCAUCCUUCUAGAACCUCCGAACUUGCCAGGUGCCCAAGUGUCUUCCCAGGAUAUGCCUGCCAAUCAUCAGCCCCUGAACUCAGGGACAUUCCUGUAAUAGAUUGAGCUAAUGAAAGCAGCACCAUACCUGUAUACAGUGCAAACCUCAGAAUCAAGACUACACAAGUGAGAUCAAUGAAGUCACAGGCACUAACCAGAUUUUCUGAUGGUCACAUGCUUGGAUUUUUUUAAAUUCAAAAUGAAGGAAUGAAACUGAAUGGAUAAACAGAUAAGGAAAUUACUGGACUAGAAAGACCUGAAGUUGCUUGUGAGCAAGAAGUUUUCCCUACUGCUUUCCUAUUGUUUCUCCUGGUUUUCACAUAACUGUGAAGAAAAUGAAGGAAAUUCAUCAACUUAAGGCAAAUUUCACUUACAGUCAUCCUGUACUCCAUGACAUUCUUUCUAUUAUGAUGAUGCAGAAAAAAAAUGCCAGUUUUGUCCAUGCCACACAAAUUAUCUCUGCAUUCAGCAAGGUCAGCAUAAGUCUAGAUCCUUAUGGAUGUGAUGGAAGGGAGCACAGGAGGCUUUUGGCAAAGCCACUGCUAUGCACCUCAGAUCUCUAAGUAGAAUGCCCAUGAGAACAUGACACUGUCACUGUGUCCUUCAAGGACUCCCUCUCAGGGAAACCAUGAUGAAGAAUUAGGAGCGGAAACAUGAGUUUGAGAGUUAGACAAAUGCAGCCCAACUUGGUGAUUGAGCUAAUGAAAGCAGCACCAUACCUGUAUACAGUGCAAACUGCUGCAAAGUUCCUGUUUCUAAAGGUCUGCCUGCCUCUGUGGGGGAAGCUUAAUAGGUUUGUAACACUAAAAUGUAUUUCAUGAGCAUUUUAAAGCACAUGGCAGAAUAUCCACUAUUCUCUUCCAGUUUGAGUCCUCUGUUAUCUAAUCUGAAAUGCCACCUCCUAAAUCUACCACUGCAGACAUUGUCUUCAUUUCUACCUUAAGUUCAUGCUCAAUGAAGGUAACAGUUUGCUUCAGGCAGUGCACCUAUAACAAUCUGAAGGCCUUUAAAAAGGUCCCUCUAAAAUGCAGUUGAGUUUGUGUUAAAUGCAGCAGGUAUGUUUAAACUUUUCACAGAGAGGACAUGUUUGCAAUACUAGUUGGCAGCUGGAGCACUUUAGAAAAGCAGGGUUUAAUGGGCUUCUCUAGGCACAGCUCUCCAUGAACUAGACAGGAGAAAGACCAGCAUUGCCACCCUGCAUUUAACCACACUCACACCUGAUUCACUAGCAAAAUGCUAAGAAACCUUCCCUGAUAAACAGCUUUGUCUCUUCCCAGUCAAGAUUCAUUAGCUCAGAGGACACAGUUUGGCAACAGUUCAAAUUCUUGCAUGUGCCACUGGCAAUAAUUAUAGAGCACACAGGUAGACAAGCUAUUGUGCUAAAAUAUAAACACAUUAGGAAAAAGACAGCAUCAGGCCUCUGCAGUGUCCAAUAUUAGGUUAGGAAGUGUGCCAUAUGAUUUUUAAUCUGAGAAGAGGCAGCUUACAAGAAAAAAAGAGGGAAAGUGUGGCCUAGCAGAAGGAUAGACAUAUGAUGAUGCAGAGGCCCUGGGGGUCACAGGUGAUGGUUCUGCUGCUGCAUCCUCGGAUUGAGGUCAAUGAGAUCUUUUCACAAUCUCGUGGCAUCUACCUAGGAAUUAUGGAAAAAGAACUUCUAAAAUCUGAGAAGUAAAUAAGGAAACCCAGUGGUGCUACUAUACCUUUAAAUGUUCCAGCUGAAACAAAUUGCCAACACAGUUGAAAAAUUGAAUAUUAGAUUGAAUACUGGGCAGGGGAGAGGUUUUAAAACCCCCUCCCAGGAAGGAGAAUUGAAGCUGCAAACCUACUGAGCUUCCUUUUUUCAUGAGUACCCUAAGGAAAGGUGUCUCCUAAAUGAGAAGCUCAUGUUACUGGUGAAGAAACUGGAAAAAAAAAAAAAAAAGAGAGCGAGAGAGAGAAAUAACCCUUCAGCAAAAUAAAGAAGUAAUUGGUAUGGUUUUUCUAAAGUCUACAGUUAGAUCUAGUAGAAGAGAUAGAAAUGUAUUUUCAGUAAUGAUUUGCCUAUUGUCCUUAUUGUAGGCUGUGCUGCCUACAACAGGGACGUUUUUGUUUUAAUGAUAUUUUUGAUUCCUUUACAGUUUUGUAUUCUCAGUGCUAGCUCUACUUCUCCCCUUCAGGCACCACUGAUGCAGGUCAUUGCAGGCAGCAGCACAGCAGAUUACACCAGUCAGUGUGAAUUAGCACUGCAGACCUGCAGAUUCUCCUUUCCAGCAAGCAGAUUGGAGCCUUGGUGGGGGAAUUUCUUCGUUUUCUGGCAUCCUAAGUCAGAAUAUUUUGUAGUACUCAUUCCCCCCACCCCCCCAAAAAAAACAAAUAAAACCAAUCUGGGGCAUUAUAUGGUGAGGAAAAAUGAAAUCCACAAAAUAGAGCCUACCCUAAAUAUCUGAUCUAAAUAUCAACUAUGUCAUUUUGUCAAUUAAUUUAAAUUGGGUUGAAAAGUUGCUAGCAAAAAGAAUGUUUAACUUGAACUUCAUUUUCUUUGAUCCUGUAUAUUGUAAUUAGAAAACAAAAAAAUGGAUAAAAUUUGUGGAUAGGAAAGAGAAGCUACAGUGGCUACUGCAUGAACUGCCUGCUGCCCACAUGAGACAAUUUUAAGAAAUUAGACAGUUUUAAGAAAUAUGGAUUUGAAAUAACCAAAGAUUGUCCUGGAAAUUUAAAAAAAAACAUAAAAGAAGACAUGAUAUAAUAGUUGGGAUGUGGGCAUAUUAGACCAUUAAAAUGUCCUCCCUCUGGUUCUCUUAGGAGCCAUUUAGGAACGUGUGGAACACCCAAAAGACCAUGAAUACCACAUUUCACAGAUCAGCCAUUUUAUCUUUGGGGAUCCUACAACUGAAUAGAGUGGAUUAGAUAAAAAUACAGAUUUUUCAUUCAUGUCAGCUACUUUUUCUUUUCUUACAGCACAGGGGAGCCAAGUCUAUGUGGCCAAGCUGAUAGGAUUUGAAAAGAAUGGAUAAUUUUUAGCCUUUCCAAGACGCAAAUAACUUUUGUUAUAUGAAUUUCCAUUUUCCAGCUAUAGAGAGAGCAACUUAGCUACUUAGCAGCUAUUACUGGUACAGAAUUGGCUUAAAGAAAAGCAUCUUUUCUUUAAGAAAAAGAUCUUCUUUAAGAAAAAGGCUCAGCAGAUCUUCUCUUUACACUUACAGAACAGUAUUCCUAAUGCCAGUAGCAAUUGAAUCCAGACAUAAAUGGACUUGAUUACACAGCUUUGUGUGACUGAGAGGCCCACUCUCUGUCAUUUCUACAUACUCAUCAUGUUGACACCUUGUAAGAGGCACUGAAUUUUAGUUUCACAAUUCUUCAUUUCUCUUCCCAAGGAGUGGGCAACCUACCAAAUACUCCCAAAUCAACACUUUGCUGGGAAGUAGUGAAUUUCAGAGAGUUUUAACAUGUUAAAGUUGAAGCCAAUUUAGUAGCCCUAUUUGUUCCAAGACUCUUAACCAAUAAUGUGAUAUAAACACAUUAUAUUGCAUUUGGGAAAUCUGUGUAGUUAACAACUUGCUUGGAAACGUGAAGUUAUUAAAAUGGCAGGUAGCUAACUGUGUCUCUUAAGUCAUCAUGACAUUCCUCCCAACAAAGAGAUUAAGGAAGCAAAUCAAGCCUCAUGAAUGAGGUUGGCUGUCCUCAAGUAGUAAUUGCUGGACUGAUUUUCCCCUUGAUCCAGCCCUUCUUCUAACUAUCCUGGGGAUAACCAAUAGCCUUCCCUUCUCUGAUAUCAUGGUUCCUUUAAGUCCAUAGCUCACAUGAACUUCAGAUGUUAUUGCAUAUUACAUCAAGUACUUGAUCAAGAGAAACCUAACAAUCUCAAUUUUUAUAUGAAAGUGGUAAAUAAAACCAUUAGGUUAUUCUGCAUUCCAUUUGUGCUUGUAUAGCUCUCUAUUUUUUUAAUCUUAGGUAUACAUAUCUCCUAAAGACUGACACAUGUACUUCUGUAGGCCUUUCUUUUUUUAAUGCUUUGUGUGAAACUUGAUGGUAUUCAGCUAAUAAAAUGCACAUGUACUCAUAGAUUCAGGCACAAAUUAAUAUCUAAAGUGUUUGGAACAAACAACUUUCUACCACAUUUGAGCUAUCUCAUAGGCUGAGUGUUCCCCUAAAUUCUACGUGAGGAGCUCUCUACCUUUGAAACAGUAAGCAUAUCUUAAAAGAGAAUGACUGUUUCCCGCAAGUAUAGUAUGAGUUUCCUGUGCAUUAUCUUAGCAUAUUGCAUAAGAUAUCAGAAGUUCUCAGGCACAUUAGCAGUGGUUUGUCAAUGUCUUUGUUAAAGUUGUACCUGCUUUCCUUCAUUGUUCUCUAAAGAGCUUUCUUCCACUUUCAUCUUCAGAAGCAAAUGCAUUUUUGAUAGUUUGGCUGGGUUAUCUCUCCAAGUUAAUCUUUCCAAAGUGAGAGGCUACUCCCACAGACCACUGCAUGUACAGGAAAAUUAUUCUCUACCUCCCAUGGCAUGAAUGAUAGAUGUUCAGAAACAAACAUCUCUCUGGGGAUUGUUGGCAUGGAUUCUGAAUUCUACUUUCUUUCUGUGAGGUAUAUAAAAAGGAACAUUUAGCAUGCAAAGUUGUAUUGCUCUUUCUAAUAAGAGACUAGAAGGACAUUUAAAAUGUUUAAAUUUUAGAUAUGCUUGCAUGAACUAUAAAUAGCUCUUUUUUCCCCUUCUUGCCAAUUUGUCUCUGAAUAUAAUCUUAUUGAUAUUCUUACCAUCAAGGUAUAAAGAAGGUAGUCUCAGCACCUCUGAGACUGUGUCCUGCAUAAGUCUUGAAAGAUGUCUAUUUUCAUUGGAAAUAAACCAACCAGAAAGGGGGAAAGUCUAGUCUAGUAAUUAUUCAGUUUGCCUACAGUGAUGGGGUCUACCAAAGGCAUGGGUCUAGUCUAAAAUCAUUAAUUUUAUGAUUCUUUAAUUCUGCAGUUUCUCAAGACAAAAAUAAUGUGACCCUACCAUCAGCUGGAUUUAAAACUUUUGAGGAGUUUUUAUGCAUUAGGAAAUAAGGAUGUUUCUUUAAUAGCAUCAAAGAUUCUCCUAAGAAGAUAGAAACUUAAAUUAGAAAUUGGAUAAUUUUUAAGAAUCUUUAGAGGACGCAUGUCAUUGAUUCAUCGUUGCCUUUUCCUUUCAUUGAACUGUAAUUAGAAUAGUGUGGGAAGCACAAUGCCCUUGGACUUUGAUUUAGAGGAUCGUGCUUUGGCCUGGAAAAUGAGCAUUGGCCUGCCUGCCUUGAACCUAAGUGAAAUCAGUUAGCAUCCUAAUAUGAAUCAGAUGUAACAGAAAUGUAAAUUAUUUCAAGAUCCUUUAGGUUUUAAUUUUCUUAGUGACACCCUGGACCUUGUAUGCUGCCUCCUAAAAUGCAUUUGAUCCAUACAGUGGUCUUCAGUUCAGAUUUGUGAGAUGUCAAGCAAUGGAAGGAGGGAAAAAAGUAGGAGGCAGGGGACUAGAAAUUUUUAACAAAGCCAGUUCAAUAUUUUGCUGAUCCCAUUCAUUUUGUUUGAGAACUGGUGAUUUUUGCCAUAGUUGUAAUCAAAGGAAGCUUUUUAAUGGAAACUGAGCGAUCUCUAUUAGGCAAGUAGGCAUGCCCAGUAUAUUGUAUUGGUCGGUGGCAGAUGUGCUGGGAAAGCAGGUACCCCAGUGAAACUGGUGCAUGCUGUUUCAGUAACUCGAUCAACUUCAGAUCUGCUUCCAUGGGGUUGCUUGUUCAUGGACCUGCCUGUUUUCUCUGGCCUUCUUUCGUUUUUCCCUUUUCUGGACGUAGGCCUCAGCCUCUCCCCUUCCUUCACAUCCCACAGCUAGUCUUUCCUAACUGAGUCUUUACGGUUUCUCCCCAACCCAACUCUUUUUCUCAUCCCUGCAUCAUAGACACUGAAUAUCUCCCUGGGCCCCUUCUCCACCCUCUCACACCCUGUGCUCCACCACUGGAUGGGGAGCUCCACUGUCACCAAGGAGCCAGAGUGAGACACACUGCUGGGACUGCCUCUUGUUAAUGUCAGCGUCACCUCAUCAUUUAGGCCAAAGGAAAAUCCAUAAAAGAGAUGGAAAGUGCAUUUAUUUUUCAUUUUAUUUUACUUUAUUUUAAGAGGGUUGGAUUCAGGUUUGCAGGGAGUGUUCUAGUCCUCAAUUUUUCAUAGAUUUUACUUUAAAACUAUCUAAUUAGGGAAUACUCUUUUGAUAAACUUAUAAGUCAGACCAGGUCACAGCUGUGAUAAAGAAGACUCAGUUUGACUUUCAAGUAACUUUCUGUGCUGCCAGACAAAUUUGACUUCUGUGCAAACAUUUUGAAUCAGACUUAUUAUUGCCACUCCAUUCUUACCACUCACUACUCAUGAUUCAAACAUUAUCCCUAAGCUGAAUCAGGAUGUUGACAUUUUGUGGUCAAUUUCACAUUAACAGUAACUAUUGCACUCUUAAAAGCACUUAAAGAAAGUGUAAGCAUGUCUUAAAUAGUCUACUGUUUGACCUGGUAAAAUCUUGGCUUUUCUGUUUAAUUAAGUAUUAGACUAAUCUGAAGAUGUAACUUUUAAGGGACUUUGAGCAAUAACAAAGACAGUUGGGGAAAAGGAGAAGGCACUUUAAAGACAUGAAACCUUACAUUACACGCUCUUGGAUAUUUUUAAAUAUAAGCUAAUUCGAUUCAGGUAUUUUUCCCUUUACAUUUUUAAGAAUAUGUAUUUCUAAUUUGUUUGCAUAUUUAAUUUUGUCAAAGCUGAGAACUGCUCAUAAGUUAAAUUUUUACAUGUAAUUUGCAACCAAAUGAAGUAUUUAUUUUUAAAAAGAAAAGGUGAAGGAAACAAUAUUGAUUUGUACAUAAUGAAAAUGUGUGUAUGUGUGUGUGUGUAUAUAUAUAUACAUAUAUAUAUUUUCCUCCUUGACACUACUUGGUCAAUUUAUUAAGUGUAUUUUUGUACAUAGAAUAUAUUGGUUAGAAAAAUGUAGAUUGUCUAUUCUAAGAAUUCUCUGUGAUAGAUUAUAUUUAUCCUAAUCUAUUGAUACCUCUAUUAAUUUGUUUCAAGAGAUACAACUAUAUUUUUUGGAAUUUGCAGAGAAUUGCAUUCAUGGCUUCCAAUUGUAAAUAUGCUAAGGGUAUUUUAAUAAAUCCUGGUUUCAAGUCCAUC
rnacentral:lncRNA from 1 species